CACAAUUCUCUCCCCGAGUCGAUUUCCUCCAUCUCCCGUGCGCCGCUCCCCCAGCUUCUCUCCCUCUCUCGUCCGCAAGCGCCGGCUAGGGUUCCGCCACCGCUCCCUUGCACGACGCCGCCCACAAUACGUAGCUCGGCCCCCUCCGCCCCUCAAGAUCUUUGAGCAUGGGUGCUCGAUCCGUCGACAACAAAGGCCAACGCGGGUCUGCUGGCGAAGGACAACGGUGAUUUGUCCCUCUCGCCCUCUUCGACAUGGCGUCCUACCUCCACUCGCUCGCCUCUAGCCGCAACCCCGUCGAUCUCUGGACGGCGUCGAUCUCCACCACAUCUGGCCGGUGGAAUUAGACCACGGAGGCCCCAAACCUCCCCACCCGGAGCUCUAGAUCAUCCCAUCCGCGAUCUUCCUCGUCCGACUCGCGUCCGACCUCCCCUACCCGUCGCCCUCUUCCAUGUGCUCCCCUCCUUCCCCCGCGCCGCCUCCUAGCGGCUCUGCUGCGCGGAGCGCCGGAAUACACUGCGUAGGCCUGGCCCUCCUCCGCCACCUUCUUGCUGCAGCACCUCCGUCUCUUGUUGGUGUAGCCUGCUGCUGCUGAAGCUGUCGCCCAGCGAUCUCUGCCUCCUCCUCCCGGGCGCCACCAAGGGAACCUCGUCAGGUCCAGAAAUAUGUUUAAGGUCAUAUUACUAAUGGUGUUUGUUCAUGGCAAUGGUAGAUAAUUAUUGACUAGAUGAUUCCCUGUGCGUUGUGGUGGGCGUCAAAAAGAAAACUCCAUAUGGUACCAAAAUGAUCCUGCAAUCAUCGCAAUGGCAAACUUGGUUGCAUCAUACUAGAAGAACGAAACCAUGGAGUUUGAAAAGAUCUUAAAAGGUCAAUGUUCUUGAACAGGCCUAUUCGUUGAUGCUGGUGAUGGUAUUUUCCAACCUCUACAAUGUGGAUCUAAUUAUAGGAGACACUGAAUGUGGGUCACACACUGUGCUUGGACAAAUCUGUUGUCCUAAUCAUCCUAUUUCUCAAUUGGAUUCAUCAUUACUUUAGAAUGCAGAACCCAGGUUGACACAAGCUUAUAAUGCAGCACCAUGUUUGACUCAACCUCACAGGUCUACAAUUCUCCAGCAAUGACCGGUAAAGGGGGAAAAUAAUACAGAGGUUCUUGACUUGUCUUUCAUAGUUUCACUCAAGCGUGAACAUAUAAUACAACUUAUUAAUAUGAAUAUAUGUACAGUUCUAAAUAUACAGUAUAUAUAGUACAUAUGCUCCUCUUUCCAUUUUAUCCUUCAUGAGAAAUAGGAUGAUUUUUGUUCAUCUUUGAACCUUACUAGAGAUCUGUCAAGAACUACAGAUUCAUACUCGUACUUCGUGAUUUCCUUUGCUAAUUCUGGGUGUGUAUUACAGGUUUACUCACUAUCCCCAUCUCACCUCUCUUUAUGUCUAUUGAUAAAUUAAUCUCGGUCUGUAGUAUGUAUUGUCUUGCUCAAACUAAGAUUCAUUUUCUACUUUGAGUGAAUUUGCCUUUCUCUUUUCUGCAUUUAGUUUAUAUCAGCACAGGAAACUGCUGGCCUAUUAUGUCGCUAUCUAUAUUUUGUAUUUUAUUUUAUGUUGUGAUAUGAGUACCAUAAUAGGACGGAGGUGCUCAGCAUGACAUGAUAUGUGGUACUCUUGUGUUUUAGAAAUUUCCAGGGAAGAGGCUCUAGGAGAGAGGGGGUUUGAAUUUUCUUUUCUGGUUUUGCAGCAUGGUGCGACAAAUUUUCUAUUCUGAUUUUGCAGCACGGCGCGAUGAAUCUUUUGCAAUUAUGGCUUAAUUCCUCCAUUCACCAUAUGCAAAUCUUAUUUUCACGUUGUUUGAUUUCUCAUGAGUGACCUGAGAUUACUGUGAUGAUACGUAAAGCCUAGAGUGUAGAGUGAGUCAUAAAUGUGUUGGAUGCACUAAUUUAGCUCAUUGCUUUGCUUCACUGUGUUGUGUAGAUGCAAAACUAUUUCAGUUUUUAAAAACUCAUUGGAUUUGCAGCUAAGUAGUUUAGAAUUUUGGAAUGUGAAAAUGGUCUUGCACAGGAAAUUCAGGCAAUGUAGAAAUACCAUGUCUUGUCUUAAUCUCUCUGCUUUCCUUUAUAGUAUACGUAUAGCUGAAUUGGACAACAUAGAUUGUGCUUGUACUGAACAUUCUCUAUUUUCAUGGGUUCUAUUAAUGAGGAUUUCCAUUUUUUGUUUAUUCGUGAUUUAUGAUUUUGACGUUUUCCAUCUCAACCAGCUCCCUUCAUUUCACAAAGAAUAUAUGUGGAGUUAAUUGUCAUAAAAGAUUAUAUUCUUUGAUCUGCAGCUCAAUAACGACUUGUAUAAUUGCAUCACAGUACAUGAUUUGUGUUGGAACAACCACAGUACAUGAUUUAUAUUUCAAAAUGAUGAUUACAUGUAUAGAGACACAUGGCACUUGAAUGACUCAUCAUAUUUUUUAGUGGAGAAGACAACAGAAAAUUCUUGGAUGUUUCCUUACGAUUUUUGUUUAGACCUGCAGGAUGUACCCUGUUCCCCAGGGUACAUUAUCCUCUGCUGGCUGUUUUGGUGAUUGCCAUUAUGUCACAUCUUAAAUUCGGAGCUUGUGUCUAUGUUAGUGGCAAGAUGUUCGAAUGGUUCCUGGUUGCACUUUUACAAAAAAUCCUCCAAUGGAUGAUAGUUGUGUUAAGAUACCGUGGAUAAGUUCUAUUCUAUUCUCUAGAUACCUUGUACAACUGUAUAAGGGAUGUUUAUGAAGCUAAGGUUUCUCUUGCAUUUACCACAUGUAGACAUGAGCAUCAGGAACGUUAUUUGUGUUAAAAAUUAAGAUUGCAUCAGUUGCUGCAUGAUGAUUCAUCUGCUAAUCGCCCAGGUGUAAUGUCAAUAUUGGUGCAAGCUGCAUCUCCGGUAAUCAUGAUUUGUUGAGGUAUUGAUACUGACUUAGUUUUCUUGCUCGUUUCUGCGAUGCCCACAAUAUAAAAUUAACAUUAGUUGAUUCCGAACCCAUGCUCAAAACAUAUAUAUUUCUUUGUAGGGAAUAUCUUGUGCACCCCAAGUUACUGUUUCUUUGUAGGGAACAGGCCACAAGGAAAAAUGUAAAUUGCUUAUUUUUGUGAAACAUAGCAGUGUAGAUCUAAUGUUGUACUGUUGGUAGUAUGAUUUCUUUCUCAACAUUGAUCUAUUUAGUUAAAGUUCUUCAUUUACCUUCUUUAGAUAUAACAUUGAAAAGAAAAGCUAAUUUUGUUGUGUUGUAGGUUUUUCAUCUACUUGGAUUGGGUCAAAUACAUGUAGUUACAGAUAUCAUGGAGGUAGAGUAUGUGGAUCGAGUGCUCCAGCUUGGAGCUAUUCGGUGAUGUCUGCUGCAGGUAUCUUUGCCAGAUAUAGUGUCCGAAAAGAAUUUGUGCCUCCAGGGUCAAGAAGCUCAGAGGUACCGAGAUGAGUGAAUUCCAGGCCACAUCUAACAAUCACACUUAUCAACCAACCUGACCUUUGUUUGUACUAUUGUCUCACACAGCUUUGUACUAUUGUCUCACACAGCUGUUGGCCGAGGGCCGGAUCGGCGAUUCAUUGUGAAUUAUUACUUCGAUUUUUCUGUAUCUUUUUAAUGCAGAUAUGCAACAUACAUGGUUCAAAAAAAGGGGACGAGUCGCACACCAUCAAGAAGAUGGACGGAGACGUUGUCAAGAACAUGGUUGCAUUACAUUCUGGAAUUAUAAUUUAAUAGAGAAGUGUCUUCUCUUCUGAUGUAUGCUUGUUUCGUUUAAACAAAAACGAUGCACACAUGCUCUGUCUUAUAGUGUAGCCACCUCACUGUUCUGUUAUCAAGCAUUUUCUUCCAUGACUACUAUGAUACAAUAUGUGCAUAAUGACCGAAGCUUAUCAGGCAUGUUGUUCUAUCC